CCUACGGGUGGCUGCAGUGGGGAAUAUUGCACAAUGGGGGAAACCCUGAUGCAGCGACGCCGCGUGAGUGAAGAAGUAAUUCGUUAUGUAAAGCUCUAUCAGCCGGGAAGCAAAUGACGGUACCUGAGUAAGAAGCCCCGGCUAACUACGGGCCAGCAGCCGCGGUAAUUCGUCGGGGGCAAGCGUUAUCCGGAUUUACUGGGUGUAAAGGGAGCGUAGACGGCAGUGCAAGUCUUGAGUGAAAGGCGGGGGCUCAAACCCCGGACUGCUCUGGAAACUGUACGGCUGGAGUGCAGGAGAGGUAAGUGGAAUGCGUAGUGUAGCGGUGAAAUGCGUAGAUAUUAGGAGGAACACCAGUGGCGAAGGCGGCUUACUGGACUGUAACUGACGUUGAGGCUCGAAAGCGUGGGGAGCGAACAGGAUUAGAUACCCUUGUAGUC
rnacentral:rRNA from 1 species